CCUACGGGUGGCAGCAGUGAGGAAUAUUGGUCAAUGGACGAGAGUCUGAACCAGCCAAGUAGCGUGAAGGAUGACUGCCCUAUGGGUUGUAAACUUCUUUUAUAUGGGAAUAAAACGUUCCACGUGUGGGAUUUUGUAUGUACCAUAUGAAUAAGGAUCGGCGAACUCCGUGCCAGCAGCCGCGGUAAUACGGAGGAUCCGAGCGUUAUCCGGAUUUAUUGGGUUUAAAGGGCGCGUAGGUGGAUUGUUAAGUCAGUUGUGAAAGUUUGCGGCUCAACCGUAAAAUUGCAGUUGAAACUGGCAGUCUUGAGUACAGUAGAGGUGAGCGGAAUUCGUGGUGUAGCGGUGAAAUGCGUAGAUAUCGCGAAGAACUCCGAUUGCGAAGGCAGGUCACUGGACUGCAACUGACACUGAGGCUCGAAAGUGAGGGUAGCAAACAGGAUUAGAUACCCGGGUAGUC
rnacentral:rRNA from 1 species